GUAAGAAAUUGGCAGGGCUCUACAGCCAUGAUCUUUGCUAUUCAAAGUUUAUUGUUCUGCUGAGAAAAACCUUGAGGAUUCCACAUCCCAAAGCAAUGAUGUGAAAAUCAAGUACUUGAUCCUUUCUUCCUAUGCCAUGCCAAGAGAAAUCCCUUCCAAACUGCUCUGCAGGAUGGAUAUGAGACCAGCUGAGUUGUGCCACUGUCCCUGGGACUGCCUGGAGAUGCUCAGUGUAACCAUGGCUCAUGGAAAAGAGGGGCAGAAGAGGCUUUUCAGCACUUCUGGAAAUGAAGGGGAAGAAGGAGCACCCUCCUGAGCACCUCUAAUGGCACAGUCUGAAGGUGGCUGAGCUAGAGCUGUCAGGUUUGCUGUGCUCUUGUUCAGCCCUCCCACAUCUGCCCUGAUGUUGCUCAGGAGGACAAGGAAGGCUGCUGGACAGCAUCACUUCAGCUGCCCAGCACUCUCACCACACUGAGCAAUCAGCAACCUGAACCUUGCACAGAAACAGCUG
rnacentral:lncRNA from 1 species